AUGGUGAUAAAAAAAAAAAAAAAAUCUAUGAAUGAUUACCAAGAAGACAGUCAUAUAUUUUCAAUCUGAUAGUAUUUCAUUACCUGAUGCAAAACUUUUCCUCUGCCAGUUUAUCAAUUUGAAAUUCCAGGUUAUUUGUGGUUUGUGAAUUGACAGAGCAUUUCAGAGAAGAGCCGUUGGAGAGGGGUGUGUUUGAACUUGAGGUACACCUGAGCACCCUGCUCGGACUUGCACUUUGGAGUACCAAGAAGGGGCUAUUUGCGUAAGUAACCAUCUAGAGUUCUACAUAUACCCGUUAAAACAUUCGAUUAUUUUUUUAGCUUUCCUUGUAUAGUAUUAAGCACUGCGGAUGCAUUACGAUUAAUUAGUUGAUUUACACCAAAGUGUAUGGACUAAUCUCUUGAUUCAAGUAUCAUUAUGAACACUUAAUAAAGAAGUAUGUAACGUUAACAGGUAAAAAUAUUUCCAAAGAAAUUGUUUACUGGGAUUGCUGAUAUCCUGAUGUAUAGUGAGUGAU
rnacentral:sRNA from 1 species